GUCGCUUCUCGGCUUUUUGGCUAAGAUCAAGUGUAGUAUCUGUUCUUAUCAGUAAGUUAUUUUGAAAGAAUGUAGGAUUUACAGAAAAAUUGAGUAUACAGGAGGUUGUUCCCAUCGAACUUACCCCCACUUUCACUUGUUAUUAACAUCCUAUAUUAGUGGUACCAACU
rnacentral:snRNA from 1 species